GUGUCAGCAGCCGCGGUAAUACGUAGGUGGCAAGCGUUGUCCGGAAUUAUUGGGCGUAAAGCGCGCGCAGGCGGUCCUUUAAGUCUGAUGUGAAAUCUCGCGGCUCAACCGCGAGCGGUCAUUGGAAACUGGGGGACUUGAGUGCAGAAGAGGAAAGCGGAAUUCCACGUGUAGCGGUGAAAUGCGUAGAGAUGUGGAGGAACACCAGUGGCGAAGGCGGCUUUCUGGUCUGUAACUGACGCUGAGGCGCGAAAGCGUGGGGAGCAAACAGGAUUAGAUACCCCGGUAGUCC
rnacentral:rRNA from 1 species